AAGACCUAUAAAGCUGCAGAGCUCACAGAUGAAUUCUCACAUUCUGGCAUUACAGGAAGAGUCUUCAUCGUACAAGUUAUGAACAGGAAUCCCACUACAUCAUUUUCAUACUGUUCCCAGCUAUUUGUGCCAUGUGCUAUUAUAAUAGGGCAGUUCUGGGAGUCUUGGGAGGGUCCCGCCUGACCCUGUAUGAGUGCCGCUAAGACCUGAGAAUUGGAUUACAGCUUAUCCAUAUCAGCAGCUGUAGCUUCCUAACAAAGCCUGUGGGCCCCUGGGCAUAUUUCAAGCAAGCCAGAAUUCACCAAGGACACUUCUGACUGGAAAAGUGGAAUGGCAGAGGAAAAUCUAGUACCAUAGCCCUCUUUCCCGACACCACAUUACCUGACGCUCCAGCAUAUUGACUGACUAACACUACCCACAAACAAUAAGAGGUAAGAAAUGCUGUAGAUGUCUACGUAGAAGCGUUAGCCACACAACAAGAGGGUCAGAGCUUAUUUCCAGCCUGACAACGGAGCCUCUCUAAAUCAGUGUGAUCACAGCCUCACUGACAGGUUGACUAACUCAUGCAGUGCCCCUAAAUCACACACACUUGCUGGGCUCAGAUCCUACUGCAUGCUUUUAUUUUUAGUGCAGUGAAUGGGGGCAUUUCAGGCCAAAGCUGCAAUACCAGAUUGCACAUUAUUUAAUUCCCUAUAUAAAUGUAUCACCGCAACAUUUACAUAAUUGCAAAUAGGCUGGCUUAUAAAUUGAAAUAGUUUAAAUGCAAAAUCGAUAUGUAUAUGUGUGUUUUUUUUUCUCUCUUUUUUGACUGAAUAAAAGUCAGAAUUUCUGUAGUCUUUACAAAUUAUUGUGAUGAAAACUAGAUGUGAUCCGAAACGUGUGAGUGGAUCAGGUCAUUCAUUUUUGAGCCUGAGGUCAUGCAUCUAAUGUGACAUCACACACAUAGAUGAUGUAAGGCAACGCAGUGAGCUCAGAGCCAGUUUCAGGGGGAGGGCUGCUCAUUUGGAACAGAUAAAGGUGCUUUGUUUUCUUCACUUCCUCCUCUCUGGUACAUGACUAGAACAUUGUUCCUGUGUUAUAGUAUUUGCUCAUUUGAAGGGAAACUGAGUUGCCCUUUGUGGAUCUGACCUAACAGCCACAUUCGAGAGAGGAGAAAGUAUAUCAAGAACUAAGGAUAAACUUCCAUUAAAACUGAUAAAUCUUGGAAAUAAAAAUGAAUACACCUAAUACUCUGAAAUGGCUAAUUGAAACACUUAUGCAAUAAUAUGAAGGCAAAUAUAUAGAAUAGUUUUUCAUGGGUCAAAAAAAUAUAUGUAUAUCAAAUAAUCAAACAAUAUACACUACUGUUCAAAAGUUUGGGGACAGUAAGAUUUUCUUUUUGAAAGAAAGAAAUUAGUAUUUUUAUUCAGUAAGGACACAUUAAAUUGUUACAGUAAAUACCAUUUUUUUUCCCAAAUAAAUGUAAAUAAUUUAAAAUAUUUUUUUUAUUUUGUUUUUUAAACUUUGUAUUCAUUGAAGAAUUCUGAAAAUUAUGUAAAUAUUAAGCAGCACAACUGUUUUCAACAUUGAUAAUAAUAAAUAUUUGCUGAGCAGCAAAUUAGCUUAGAAUUAUUUCUGAAGGAUCAUGUGACACUGAAGACUGAAGUAAUGAUGCUGAAGAUUCAGCUAAAUUACUUUUAAAAUAUAAAACAGAUUUGAAUUAUAAUGAAUUUUUUUUAAAUUAGAAUUUCAUAUUACUGUUUUUAAUGAUAUUUGUGUUCAAAUUAAUGCUGAGCAAAAGUUUCAAAAACAAUAAAAUCUUACCAACCCCAAACUUUUGAACAUUAGUGUAUUUUAAGAAGUAACAUUUGACCAAUAGCUUCCCCCAAAAGUUUCUUUUAACAAUUUAAAUGAAUUAUAAAUGAGAAUUAAUUUUAAGCUGUAUUGAUAAAGCUGUUCUUUUUACAUUAAACUGCAUAUACAAACUUUAAAAUAAGUGUGACAACUAGCCCCAUCAUACAGCUCUACCUGAUGUGUGAUGUUGCUAGAAGUUGCUUGAAUAAAGCAUCACCUGAUGGCAGAUAACUCAAAAACGACAAUACUGUAAGUAAUACAAAUUAAAAAAAAAACGAAAAAAAAAGUGGGAAAAUUGAUGAACAAAAAGGUGAUUGAAAAAAUAUGAGAGGAAACCCAUAUUUUAAAAAUAUAUUUUAAUGCUUUUGCAUUCUCUCGCAAAAGUUUUGCGUUCCCCUGAGAAAGUUUGCAUUCUGCCAGCAAAUGCAAAGUUUUGCGGGGAAUGCAAAAGCAUUAUAUUUUUCAUCCUAUCUCAUAUUUUAUUCAUCACCAAUACAAAGUUUCUUGUUAGAAUGCAAAACAUUUACGAAAGAUUGAUCGAUCGAUCAAUCAAUCAAUCAAUCAAUCAAUCAAGAUUUCCCCUCCCAUUCCAUAUGUUUCACCAUCACCAAGGCUCUUUUAGGAUUUUUAGGAGAUUUUUUAGGAAGUACAAUAAUGAGUAUUUGCUUCAGGGGAUUAGAACAAAAUAAAAACAUUUUUAUCGCAAUUUAUCCUUUUGCAUUACUCCUAUACUACUUUGAAAAUAAGAUCCUUUCACAAGGUUACAUUCAGUGCAGAAUCCUGGUCCAUAUAGUGUUUCAAGGCAGACCAGUUUCCCCACAGACUCAUAACAUCAUAUCACCAAAUACAUAGAUAUACUUAGAAGACUAACAGCGAUCACCAGAUGAGGCUUUCUGAGAUGAUUUUGAUAAUAUAGUCACAGUAAAUGUUGUAUUGGGACUCACAUGGGUCCAUUAGUCCCAUGCUUUAUAGGAAAACACAGGAACAUUGGAGAUAACAUAGAGCUGAUAAAUUUUCUAAAAAAACAAUAUCCAGCCAGCUUCCAGCUAAUGAAUCAUAAUGGAGCAUUUAACAACUGUUAUGUGGUUUCCUCACUGAUAAAUUAUGAGAUAAAACAAGCGCUUUAGUCAUGCAACAUCCCAGUUAACAGGGAAUGUUCCUAUAACUUUCACUAACGUUCUUUAAAAAUAUUCUUAAAAUAAUGUUUAUUGAACGUUCUAAUAAUGUUAUCAAUAGUUAUUAUAUGUUCUUGUAAUGUUGAGAGAAAAGUUCUUAGAACAAUGUUCAUGGAACAUCCUUACAAUGCAAUUUACUUGAUGGAUGUUCUUGUAAUGUUGAGAGAAAACGUUAUUUUUGCAUAAUAUAUCAGAAUGCCCUUAUAAUGUUAUUAUUAUUUGCUGAAUGUUUUCAUAAUGUUAUCAUAAAACAUUCUGAGUACAACAUUCAUGGAACGUCCUUACGAUGUAGACCUAAUUUGUACUUGAUGAAUGUUCUCAUAAUGUAGAGAGAAAACGUUGUGAGAACAACGUUCACAAAACAUACAAUGUUAUUUUUACUUGACAAACGUUCUCAUAACAUUGAGAGAAAAUGUUAUUAGAACAACAUUCUCUGAACGUCUUAAUGAUGUUAUUAAUAUUUGCAAAAAUUUUUGGGAAUGUUUGCAUAAAAUGUGAGAACCAUUUUAAUAAAACUUCUUUCGAGUAGGCCUAUUAUUUGUCAAAGUCAAAUCUUUUGUAUAGUGCUUUUCACAAUACACAUUGUUUCAAUGCAGCUUUCCAGAAAAUCAUGAUGUUAUAAUGUUUAUCUUUAUACCUUUAUGCCUUAUAGUCAUAUUUAGCAGAUUACCCAGCUAACAGGGAACGUCCUCAGAACUUUGGCUAACGUUCUAGCAUGUUUCUCUCAAAGUUAUGAACAAACCUUUUUCCAGUAACGUUAAUAGAAUGUUCAUUCAGAGUAAUCUGGGCUUUAAAAACGUUCUCAAAACAUUAGCACAAAAAUGUUAUUUAUACAUUGUUCAAGGAAUGUAUUUUUUGGAAUGUUUUAGUUGAACGUUCAUCUUACAUUUUUUAAAAAUUACUACUUGUUUGAUCAUUAAAGAGAAUUGAAGAGAAGAGAACAUGAAGUCACAAGACACAUGCAUAAGGAAAAAAAAAUAAAUGCAAUUUGUAUAUAAAAUAUACAAGCAAGCAGCUAUAAUACACUGACUUCAUUGAACCUAAUGCAUUACACCAAGCAAUAAGGACUUUGAACUUCCCCUUCGGUAAAAGCAUUUAAUCUGAUUCUGAGCUAAAUUCUCUCAUUGUCUUACUAUUACUCAGAACUCUGUGCAUCCACACCAUUCCACGCCAUUUUAAAACCAAAUCCAGAGUCUGCAGACAACCAUUACACUCCAAGGUCUCUUCAGCCUGAAGCAUCACAAAGCAUUUUGUAAAAUGACAGUGUUUGAAACUCUAUAUGAAACAGUAAAAAAACCCAAACAAU